CGCGGGGUAGAGCAGCCCGGUAGCUCGCAAGGCUCAUAACCUUGAGGUCGCUGGUUCAAAUCCAGCCCCCGCAACCA
rnacentral:tRNA from 1 species